UCUCUUAUUUUCUUGUUAGAUUCUUGAUUUAUGUUACCUGGCUAUGAUCUAAUAACUUGUAUUUCUCUAUGCAUAUAUUGACUGAUGUAGGGCCAAAGUCCCUUUUUAACGCUGCUUAUUUUGUAUAACUAGGAGGGCUCCGCAAAGUACGGAGAAGAGUAGCUAUUUGGAAUGCCAAGUUAGGAUCGUCUUCCUCUGUAGGAUGUUCAUUGUGUUCUGAUGGAAAAUGGUUAUAUUACUAUUUCAAUUUGCUACUCAUUCUGAUCCAACGAAACUAAACCAGUGGGAUUGAAGUUGUCGUUCAUGUCGGGAGUUCCGGCAAACCCGCUAUACCCUACGAAGAAGGAUCCUCUUGGGAGGAUUGAUCGUGGUGCCAUUCAGAAUUUCUACUUUGACCGUUGAUUCCAGGUGACACAAACCACGGAUAGUUGUUUGCUUCCUCUUAUCUACGUACCGUGGGAUUUGAGAAUUGUCCCCUUUGCUGUGGUAUUGGACAUAUGAAUCAAGCGUCUGCUGCAAUGGUUGUAUGCAAGUGCUUUUGCUUCAUGCUGCUAUCAGCUCUUAGUUUUGUAGUUUCUUUCGUCCUGUGGUGUGCUUCCUCAGAAAACAGAUUUGUGUAUAUAUUUUUGAUUGUUCCACUUAUUAUUAGUGAUAUGUGCAAUAAUUUCACGAUACUUAUUAUGGAUUGGAGGGAGUAUAGCUUA